rnacentral:lncRNA from 1 species
CACUCUGUUGCCCAGGCUGGAGAACAGUGGCACGAUCAUGCGUUAUUCACUGCAGACUUGAACUCCUGGCCUCAAGCAAUCUUUCUACCUUGACCUCCCAAAGUGCUGGGAUUACAGGCAAAAGCAACUAUGAAUAAACAGAAGAAGUCUCCCACAGUGGGUAAAUGUGUGGACCUGGGUUUGAAACCUGAUGAAACUUGCUGGCUGUGACCCCUUGGGCCAGGGAUUAACUGCUGUCACUCUUAGUUCCCUCAACCCUCAGGUGCAUGUGAUUAUAUUCACUGCCUGAUAUGGUUUGGCUCUGUGUCCCCACCCAACUCUCAUCUUGUAGCUCCCAUAAUUCCCACGUGUUGUGGGAGGGACCCGGUGGGAGGUGAUGGAAUCAUGGGGGUGGGUCUUUCCUGUGCUGUUCUUGUGAUAGUGAAUGUGUCUCAUGAGAUCUGAUGGUUUUAAAAACGGGAGUCCUCCUGCACAAGUUCUCUCUUUGCCUGCUGCCAUCCACAUAAGAUGUAACUUCCUCCUCCUUUCCUUCUGCUGUGAUUGUGUAUCCUCCCCAGCCACAUGGAACUGUAAGUUCAAUAAACUUCUUUCUUUUGUAAAUUGCCCAGUCUCAGGUAUAUCUUUAUCAGCAGCAUGAGAACAGAUCAAUACAGUAAUUUGGUAGCAGGUAGUGGGGUGCUACUCUAAAGAUACCUGAAAAUGUGGAAGUGAUUUUGGAACUGGGUAACAGGCAGAGGUUGGAACAGUUUGGAGGGCUCAGAAGACAGGAAAAUGUGGAAAGUUUGAAACUCCCUAGAGAGUUGUUGAAUGACUUUGACCAAAAUGGUGAUAAUGAUAUGGACAAUGAAAUCCAGGCUGAGGUGGUCUCAGAUGGGGAUGAGGAACUUUUUGGGAAGUAGAGCAAAGGUUAUGUCUUGUUAUGUGUUAGCAAAGAGACUGGUGGGAUUUUGC